CUCAGAUAACCUUCCCCUGACUUUGUGACUGAGCUUCCAGAAACAUGUCAGGGAGUUUCUAGGAAGGAGGCCAGAAAUCAUGCAGUUAGCAAGGGAGAUCCAGCUGUGCCCACCUCAGCCUGAGAGUUUUAUUCACUUCUUCUGCAGGGAUCAUUUUCAGCCGUUCAAAAAGUUUCCUACUGUUUCACCUCGAUGGGGACUUUACUUGCUUUUCUGUGCAGGUUCUCUAUUAGUUAACAUGUUCCUCUACCCCAUUUAACUUUUGAAGUGUGGGGCCUCUGAAUGAGAAAAUGGAUUGCGUCUUCCAAUAUCAAAAUGGAGUCCUACUCAUGAUAAGUAGUUUAACACUUUUCUGAGAGUAUUGAGUUGCUUUAGGAAGACCAAGUGAUUGGGUUUCAAGAGAGAUACCAAGUUAAAGGAAUUCACAUCAUUAUAUCUCCCAGAGGACAAAGCCUAGAACUUUCUACAUUCAAGUCAGUGAAUAUUGGGGAGUGGGGAAUCCAUGAAUUCAUUAUGUGGCUGGAGUGCAAUGGCGCAAUCUCAGCUCACCACAAUCUCUGCCUCCUGGGUUCAAGCGAUUCUCCUGCCUCAGCCUCCCGAGUAGCUGGGAUUACAGGUAUGCGCCACCACGACCGGCUAAUUUUGUAUUUUUAGUAGAGACAGGGUUUCUUUAUGUUGGUCAGGCUGGUCUCGAACUUUCGACCUCAGGUGAUCCACCCG
rnacentral:lncRNA from 1 species